rnacentral:rRNA from 1 species
AACGAACGCUGGCGGCGCGCCUAAUACAUGCAAGUCGAGCGAGAAGACGUAGCAAUACGUUUGUAAAGCGGCGAACGGGUGAGGAAUACAUGGGUAACCUACCCUCGAGUGGGGAAUAAAUAGCCGAAAGGUUAGCUAAUACCGCGUACGCUUCUUGGACUUCGGUUCAGGGAGGAAAGCGAUACCGUGGGUAUCGCGCUCUUGGAUGGGCUCCUGUCCUAUCAGCUUGUUGGUGAGGUAACGGCUCACCAAGGCUUCGACGGGUAGCUGGUCUGAGAGGACGAUCAGCCACACUGGCACUGCGACACGGGCCAGACUCCUACGGGAGGCAGCAGUAAGGAAUAUUGCGCAAUGGGCGAAAGCCUGACGCAGCGACGCCGCGUGGGGGAUGAAGGUCUUCGGAUUGUAAACCCCUUUCGGGAGGGAAGAUGGAGCGAGCAAUCGUUCGGACGGUACCUCCAGAAGCAGCCACGGCUAACUUCGUGCCAGCCGCCGCGGUAAUAC